GGGGAAUAUUGCACAAUGGGGGAAACCCUGAUGCAGCGACGCCGCGUGAGCGAAGAAGUAUUUCGGUAUGUAAAGCUCUAUCAGCAGGGAAGAUAAUGACGGUACCUGACUAAGAAGCCCCGGCUAACUACGUGCCAGCAGCCGCGGUAAUACGUAGGGGGCAAGCGUUAUCCGGAUUUACUGGGUGUAAAGGGAGCGUAGACGGCAAGGCAAGUCUGAUGUGAAAACCCAGGGCUUAACCCUGGGACUGCAUUGGAAACUGUCUGGCUCGAGUGCCGGAGAGGUAAGCGGAAUUCCUAGUGUAGCGGUGAAAUGCGUAGAUAUUAGGAAGAACACCAGUGGCGAAGGCGGCUUACUGGACGGUAACUGACGUUGAGGCUCGAAAGCGUGGGGAGCAAACA
rnacentral:rRNA from 1 species